GGGGUAGGAAGAUCAAUUGCGCUAACUUCUGUUUAUAAUGCAGUAUUAAUUACUAGAGGAGGCUAUGGAUAGCAAGCCAGUAGUUAAUAUUAGGCCCUUUUCGCUGAGGGAUCGGGUUGAGGGGAGGCUAAGAAAGUCGCAUAACAAUUGAAUCAAUCAACUAAUAUUCAAGGGUAGUAUGUAAGAGAGAGUGGAAUAGAUGAAAUUGUUAGUACUCAACAACAUUCAUUCAUCCAUUGUUUUGUGUUUAACCUCAAUUGAUCAAAUUGCAUUCAUGUUUAUUUUUCUGCACUUUACAAAAAUUCCAAAAUAUUAUUUUUAUAGUCUUGAUUGGUUAAGCAAAAGCACAACAGUUUAGUGCCGUGAGUCUCUUGGGAAAACGAUACUUGGACUUACCAUUUUAUUAUUACUUG
rnacentral:lncRNA from 1 species